AUUCGGAGCAUAGCUUUCACGACCUUCUCGAGGAGAUGGUGAUGGCGGGCCGCUUCAUGAUGAGGGCACGACCACAGGCGGAGCUGGCGAUCCCCUUGGCCUUCCGUCACCCACGCCGCGCGGCUAAGCGUGAGUUUCGCGAUACUUGAGUCUUUGCUUCAAGUAUUCUUGUUUGCUUGACACUAACCCUGGCUAGUGCUUGUGCUUGUUUUUCAGUAGCUUUUUCUCGAGAGAAGGCGGCCGAGUGGGCUUCCCAGAUGGUCGGGCCGUACAACUCGGUGG
rnacentral:lncRNA from 1 species